GAGAACAACUGAAAUCGGUAAGCCUCGCGCGUGGUGUGACUAAGUCUGUCUGGUAAGCUUUGAAGUUGUAAUUCUUGCGUUUUCCAGUUUUAUAAGUGCCCCCUCCCCCCACCCUUUCAGAGCUCCUUUUCCUUUGUUGAGAUGUUUCUUUUUAAAAAUAUUUCAACAGAAUUUGUAAAUGACCACUGAUGCACUUUUAUGAUGGGUACUUUAAAAUCCUUCCCAUAUCAUCCCAACAUGUUAGUUGAUUCAUGUUAGUGCUGGCAUAGGUUGUCAUCGCUAAUGCAAUUUGUGGUUUUCCUGGUUCUGGGUUUGAUGAAUGAUUCUCUGCCGCACCCUUCCUAUUUUGGUUUUUGGACGAGAGGACCUUUAAUCCUCCUUAAAUGUCUUAUUUCAGCAUGCUCUCUCCCAGGUUAGCGUGCACUUCUGUCUCCCUUUGUGGGCUUUAGCUCUGACAAUAGCUUGUGUUUUGAGCUCUUGCAGCACCAUCCUGGGCUGCUUUGUUUUUCUGAUACUGCUGUGUCACCUCCUGUCCCCCUUCCUCCCUUCUGUCCCUGCUUUCAUCAUCUGUGACAGCAGAUGGCACAUGUGUCUUUGGCAUUGUCUAGGUGGCCUUUGGGAGAGAAAGGGAAGAAGCCCUAGUCUCUUUACCCCACCGUGAAGACACUGAGCUUGGCUGGUGGCACUGCCUUAGGUCUAUCUGGUUGUAGAGUAGGGUCUGGGACUUGCCAAGCUGCCACUGCUGCUGAGGACAGUGGCCUCAGGUAGUGCCACAGCUAGGGCUGUAGCUGGGGAACAGUUCUAUGUCCUUCCAUGGCUCGGUCCUGGGAACCUGACUAGGGGUGAUGGGAGAAUGAAGAGAGGACAAGGACACACAGACACAGGUACAGAAAACUUGAGGUCGGGUGGGCUGUGCUGAUGGAGAGACAACAGCAUGGAUGCUCAGCAUAUUUAUUACAUACAGCUGAGCAGGGAGCAGGUUUAGUGUAUACAGUAAGCAAGGAGGCAAGAGUUAUACGGAAGAUGAGCAAGGGGGCAUUUGAACAAGGGGUAGGGCUAGUCCAUACAGCUGAACAAGGAGGCAGGGCUAGGUAAUCUCUGUAGGAGCAGUCUCUGCAACAGAACAGCCUUCAGCCCGUAAACAAGUGAAAGAAGAAGGCUGGACCUCCCUACGCUCACCAACGGCAUUCACACUUGGGCCAGAGAAAGGCUUUGCCAUCUCUCUAACCUCACCCAGGGAAGGCUUUGCCAUGGGUCUAGGCAUUGGGGUGAAUAUACAUUCACACGAGACUUAAUCACUCCCAACAGAACAGCUGGUACAAUGAGGGAUUUCACCACUCUGCUGAUGCAAGUCCAUUGUAUAGUACUGUCUGUAGGGCAGCAUGUGCAUUUUGAAGGUGUGUGUGUGUGUGUGUGUGUGUGUGUGUGUGUGUGUUUGUGUGUGUGUGUGUGUGUGUGUGAUAUGUGUGUGCAUGGCUGUGUGUGCACAGAGAUCAGAGGAGGAUGUCAGAUGUCCCUCAAUCAUUCUCAGCCUUAAUCCAUUGAGACAAGGCCUGUCACUGAACCAGGAGCUAAGCAAAUGCCAGCAAGCCCUGCUGGUCCUUAUGCUGUGUUUCUGCCCCGCUAAAGUGCGGGUAUUAUAGGUUCUUGGAUGGCCAUACCUAGCUAUUUACAUGGGUGCUGGGGAUUCAAACCCAGAUCUCCAUGCUGACUCACUGAGACAUUUCCCUGGACCCAACAUACUGAAGUUUGAAGUUUAAAUCUGUUUUUUUGUUGUUGUUGUUGUUUUUUUUUUUUAGCUUUGCUUAUAUGAUUUGGAGUCGAAGACAAAUGUGACUCAAGUGUCCCCCUUUUCAUUCUCUCUCUUUGGGGGAGGGUUGCUCCCCUUUCUUAAUUCUUUUGUUGUAUUUUUCAUGGGGCUUUUAAUUUGCAGAAUCCUCUGUGCAGAUGUGCAGGUGACACCCAGGCCUGCCAUGAGAACCAAGGGCCCCACACAGAGGCAUGCACCUGGCCCUUUCUGCUGUGCAUCUGUGCUCAUAGCCUGCUCUUCACCCCAGUGAUGCUUACUAAAGUUCUGGCCUUUCUCCUCCUUUUAAAGUCAGACGAGGAAUCUGAGUUUUGUUUCUUUUAUUCUUUAUUUUUAUUGGAAUUUUAAAGCAGCCCUUAUUGAGGUCACAUUUGGUUUGUGUUUAUUUCAUUUUUAUGAAAUUUUCCUCCUACUCUCUUGGUAACUAUGCCUUCCUCGUUUUCUUUCUACAAGUGAAAGAAAAAGUCAUCUCUCUUGUUUUCAAUUGUCUUCAUUUUAUAAAACUUCUCGAGACUAUUUUUUUCCCUUGAUGUUUUGUUUUUUGUUUUGGAGUACUCAAGAACUUUGAACAUCCAAUAUUCUAAUUGGCAUUACUUCCAGAGAAUUACUGUUUCACUUUUUUUUUAUUUUAAAGAAAGUAGUUAUUUAUGCCAGGCAUGGUAGUGCCUACCUUUUGUCCCAGCCCUGUCCCAGGCAGAGAUAAGUGGAUCUCUGCAAGUUAAAGGCCAGCCUGAUCUACAGAGUGAGUUCCAGGACAGCCAGGGCUACACAGGAGAAAUCCUGUCUCCAACAAAGAAGGAGAUGGAGUGGGGAGGAAGGGGAUGGCGAGGGGAGGGGAGGGGAGAAGGUUGGGAGGAGGGGAGGAAGAAGAGUGAGGAGGAAGAGGAGAAGGAGGAAAGACGAAGAAAAAUACAAAAACAGACAGACAGAAGUUAUUUGUGAGUUUUGAACUUCUGACUGGUGUUAGAAUUAUCAUAAGUUCCAAGAGGGUAAGGAUGAAACAGGGUGAGGCGAAGCUUUGUAUUAAUUUCUUAGUUACUGCCUCAUGGUAAGGAGAUAAUAUACUCCUACGUUUUUAAAUUCCCUUAGAUGUCCCUAUGGCUGAGUAAAGUGAUUUUGGUAAAUGCUUCAUGCAUAUUUGAAGAGAUGAUCAUCUCAAGGGAUUCACUGUGUUAUACAGACAAUAAAGCAAAGAACUUUCAUUGAAGCUUUGAGACAAGGACUUGUAUGUAAUGGUUGUGUCCUGCUCUUCCACUCUCUGGGCUCUGGAAAGUCUUUCUUGUAGGGGGCUACCCUGCACAUCAUGGAAUGCUUAGCAUCCUUGGCCUCUAACCUACUAGAUGACAGUAACAUCUCUGCCAGUUCUUUCAUCCAGAAAUAAACAGCCCUCUGGGUACAGAAUUAUCCCAACUUGGGAACCAGCGCUGCUCUAAGGUUUUAUAUCUAUGAAUUGAAAUUUAAUCCACAUCAUAAAUAUAUAUCAUACAUUGUGAUUUUGCAAAUAACAGUCUAUAAACAGAACAAAUAUUCAUAAAUAGAAGUCCAAGGAAGUUAAAUGUCAUCUAAGUAUCCUUUGUAGUUAUGAAUAGAACC
rnacentral:lncRNA from 1 species